rnacentral:lncRNA from 1 species
GAACAGCUGAGGUAGCGUUCAGUUUCAGCCCCAGUGCCAUUAUGAUGGAUGUUUACAUCUCUUCAUUGAGAGCCAAUUAUCUCGCUUUUGUGUGAGGCCCCAGGAUCACUCAUGCUGCCAGGCUGCACACAGCACUGUUGGAUCUAGCUGAACGAAUUGUUUUCCCUGUCUCUGAAAUAUAAUGAAGCAGUUGCUGUUGGAAUCCCAUGGCUUCACGGAGCUCAUGUCCUACUUGGAGAGAGAGGGAUAAGAGCUUUAAGUCAAUGAAGAAAGUUAAAGAACUAAGUCUUACAGGAUGAUUCCUGAGUACAAGAUGGUUUUGAAAUUCCAAGAGUGAACGUUUGGAUCAUAUUCAAGAUACACAAUAUAAAUUCAUUUUUUGGAUUGACGG